rnacentral:tRNA from 1 species
ACCCAUGUGGCUCAGUUGGUAGAGCAUAGCACUUGCAACGCCAGGGUUGUGUGUUCGAUUCCUACCGGGGAUC